UGAGUACGAGCGGCUACGGCCGCGAAGUGGAUGAUGUCAAGCUUCCAAGAAAAGCCCUAUACCCGUUAAGGCAUGAUGGCCUGUACCCCAAAACCGACACAGGUGGGGUGGUAGAGAAUACCGAGGGGCGCGAGGUAACUCUCUCUAAGGAACUCGGCAAAAUGGCCCCGUAACUUCGGGAGAAGGGGUGCCACCGCGAGGUGGUCGCAGUGAAGAGGCCCAGGCGACUGUUUACCAAAAACACAGGUCUCCGCUAAGUCGCAAGACGAUGUAUGGGGGCUGACGCCUGCCCAGUGCCGGAAGGUUAAGGAAGCUGGUCAGCGCAAGCGAAGCUGGCGACUGAAGCCCCGGUGAACGGCGGCCGUAACUAUAACGGUCCUAAGGUAGCGAAAUUCCUUGUCGGGUAAGUUCCGACCCGCACGAAAGGCGUAACGAUCUGGGCGCUGUCUCGGAGAGAGGCUCGGCGAAAUAGAAUUGUCUGUGAAGAUGCGGACUACGUGCACCCGGACAGAAAGACCCUAUGAAGCUUUACUGUAGCUUAGUAUUGUGCUCGGGCUCGGAAUGCGCAGGAUAGGUGGGAGGCUUUGAUCCAUUGCUUGCGGGUGAUGGUGAGCCACUGGUGAGAUACCACUCUCUCCGAGCUAGAGUUCUAACAGCAACCCGUUAUCCGGGUGCUGGACAGUAUCAGGUGGGCGGUUUGACUGGGGCGGUCGCCUCCUAAAUGGUAACGGAGGCGCGCAAGGUCUGCUCAGGCUGGUUGGAAAUCAGCCGACGAGUGUAAAAGCAGAAGCAGGCUUGACUGUGAGACCUACAAGUCGAACAGGGAGGAAACUCGGCUUUAGUGAUCCGACGGUUCUGCGUGGAAGGGCCGUCGCUCAACGGAUAAAAGUUACUCUAGGAUAACAGGCUGAUCUCCCCCAAGAGUUCACAUCGACGGGGAGGUUUGGCACCUCGAUGUCGGCUCAUCGCAACCUGGGGCUGAAGUCGGUCCCAAGGGUUGGGCUGUUCGCCCAUUAAAGCGGUACGCGAGCUGGGUUCAGAACGUCGUGAGACAGUUCGGUCCAUAUCCGGUGCACGCGCAGGAAUAUUGAGAGGAUUUCUCCCUAGUACGAGAGGACCGGGAGGAACGCACCUCUGGUGUGCCAGUUAUCGUGCCAACGGUAAACGCUGGGUAGCCAUGUGCGGAGUGGAUAACCGCUGAAAGCAUCUAAGUGGGAAGCCCACCUCAAGAUGAGUAUUCCCAUGGCAUAAGCCAGUAAGGUCACGGGAAGAACACCCGUUGAUAGGCUCUACGUGGAAGCGCAGUAAUGUGUGAAGCGGAGGAGUACUAAUAGACCGAGGGCUUGACCU
rnacentral:rRNA from 1 species